UACGGGGGGGGCAAGCGUUGUUCGGAAUUACUGGGCGUAAAGGGCUCGUAGGCGGCCAACUAAGUCAGACGUGAAAUCCCUCGGCUUAACCGGGGAACUGCGUCUGAUACUGGAUGGCUUGAGUUCGGGAGAGGGAUGCGGAAUUCCAGGCGUAGCGGUGAAAUGCGUAGAUAUCAGGAGGAACACCGGUGGCGAAGGCGGAUCUCUGGGCCGUGUCCGUGACGCUCGAGGCGCGAAAGCUAGGGGAGCAAACAGG
rnacentral:rRNA from 1 species